UAGCCUAGUGGUAAAGGCAUGGAUCGCCAAUCCAGAGACGGCGGGUUCGAUUCCCGU
rnacentral:tRNA from 1 species